CACAGUCACAUACAUACAAUCAAAUAUCUAUACACAAUCACGUACAUACACACAUAAUCACAGAUUUACACAGAUCCACACACACAUAGAAUCACAUACAUACACAAACCAUCACAGACAUACCCACACACAAUCAGACCUAUACGCACAAUCACAUACAUUCACACAUAGUCAGACCCACACACACCCAAUCACAGACGCAUACACACAUAGUCACAGACAUAUACGCACAAUCACAUACCUACAAACACAUCAGACACACACAAAUAAUCACAGACCUACAC